AGAAUCAACGCUGGCGGCGUGCCUAACACAUGCAAGUCGAACGAGAAAGUGGAGCAAUCCAUGAGUAAAGUGGCGCACGGGUGAGUAACACGUGACUAACCUACCCUCGAGUGGGGAAUAACUUCGGGAAACCGAGGCUAAUACCGCAUAAUACCUUCGGGUCAAAGGAGCAAUUCGCUUAAGGAGGGGGUCGCGGCCGAUUAGUUAGUUGGCGGGGUAAUGGCCCACCAAGACUGUGAUCGGUAUCCGGCCUGAGAGGGCGCACGGACACACUGGAACUGAAACACGGUCCAGACUCCUACGGGAGGCAGCAGUGGGGAAUUUGCGCAAUGGGGGAAACCCUGACGCAGCAACGCCGCGUGGAGGAUGAAGUCCCUUGGGACGUAAACUCCUUUCGAUCGGGACGAUUAUGACGGUACCGGAAGAAGAGCCCGGCUAACUUCGCGCCAGCAGUCGC
rnacentral:rRNA from 1 species